rnacentral:tRNA from 1 species
GGAUGGGUGGCCGAGGGGUUUAAGGCAGCGGUCUUGAAAACCGCCGAAGGUGUGAGCCUUCCGUGGGUUCGAAUCCCACCCCAUCCGCCA